GGGCUCGUAGCUCAGCGGCAGAGCGCCGCCUUCGCAAGGCGGAGGCCCCGGGUUCAAAUCCCGGCGAGUCCA
rfam:Ferroglobus placidus DSM 10642, complete genome.